UUGAACGCUGGCGGCAGGCUUAACACAUGCAAGUCGAACGGUAACAGGGGAAAGCUUGCUUUCUUGCUGACGAGUGGCGGACGGGUGAGUAAUGCUUGGGAAUCUGGCUUAUGGAGGGGGAUAACGACGGGAAACUGUCGCUAAUACCGCGUAGAGUCGAGAGACGAAAGUGUGGGACCGCAAGGCCACAUGCCAUGAGAUGAGCCCAAGUGGGAUUAGGUAGUUGGUGGGGUAAAGGCCUACCAAGCCGACGAUCUCUAGCUGGUCUGAGAGGAUGACCAGCCACACCGGGACUGAGACACGGCCCGGACUCCUACGGGAGGCAGCAGUGGGGAAUAUUGCGCAAUGGGGGCAACCCUGACGCAGCCAUGCCGCGUGAAUGAAGAAGGCCUUCGGGUUGUAAAGUUCUUUCGGUGACGAGGAAGGUUGUUGUGUUAAUAGCGCAACAAAUUGACGUUAAUCACAGAAGAAGCACC
rnacentral:rRNA from 1 species